rnacentral:rRNA from 1 species
GACGAACGCUGGCGGCGUGCUUAACACAUGCAAGUCGAACGGAAAGGCCUGCUUUCCCUUGUGGAUUGCGGGUACUCGAGUGGCGAACGGGUGAGUAACACGUGAGUGAUCUGCCCCCAACUUGGGUAUAAGCCUGGGAAACUGGGUCUAAUUCCCGAUAGGACUGCAGGGUGGUGCCUGUGGUGGAAAACGAUUUUCUAGUGGUUGGGGAUGAGCUCGCGGCCUAUCAGCUUGUUGGUGGGGUAAUGGCCUACCAGGGCGGCGACGGGUAGCCGGCCUGGGAGGGUGGAGCUGGACAUUGAGACUGAGAUACGGCCCAGGGACCGAGGCGAGGCAGCGGCGGGGAAGGGUGGACGAUGGGCGGAAGACUGAAGCAGCGACGCAGGGUGGGGGAUGCCGGGCUGCGGGUGGUAAGCUCCUUUCGACCGCGAGGAGGCCACCUAGUUGGAAGGGUGGUGACGGUAGUGGUAGAAGAAGCACCGGCUAACUACGUG